rnacentral:rRNA from 1 species
UACGGAGGGUGCGAGCGUUGUCCGGAAUCACUGGGCGUAAAGGGCGCGUAGGCGGCCUGAUAAGUAGGGGGUGAAAUCUUGCGGCUUAACCGCAAGGCUGCCUUCUAAACUGUCAGGCUAGAGCACGGUAGAGGCAGAUGGAAUUCCCGGUGUAGCGGUGGAAUGCGUAGAGAUCGGGAAGAACAUCAGUGGCGAAGGCGGUCUGCUGGGCCGUUGCUGACGCUGAGGCGCGACAGCGUGGGGAGCAAACAGG